CAUGGGUCCUGUCCCCACGCUAUUCCACACUAUUCUCUAAAUAAAAGAGCACUACUGCCAGACCUUGAGACUCCAAGAAAUCUUUCUUUCGCCUCCUCAGCUCACCAACCCGCAUCAAACCCAUUAGGGGCGGAGGGGGAAAAGAGUCAAAAAGGACUCUUCUGCUGAGAGUUGGGCGCUGCUCCCGCGCUGCGCCGCGGUGACGACAUUCGUCCGCGCCCGCAGCCGAGCGUUGUGGGCGCCGGGUGGCGGGCGCCUGUGCAGUGGCUCCGAGCGGGCGGUUGCUUGUUGGUUGUUGUAGUAACGGGGGAAGCAGCCUUCCGCGGCCGUGAGCCCGGCUGGGGAAGGAGCAGGGAGGUCGGCGCCGAGCGCGGUCCCCGCCUACCCGCCCCGAGCCCUGGGAAGAUGAGCCAGGCAGCCUAGGACAGGUCGGCACCCCUUCCUCGCUUGGAGGUUUUGUUUGUUUUGCUUUAGCUUAAAGGACAUCCCAACAUUUUGGGAAAGAUCGAGAAAUCCCGCUGGGAAUCCUUGGAAGGACGCCUUUGAGGUUGUUAGAUCCUCAGCCCGUUCCGCUGACGAUCUGUGGAACAUUAUCGGGAUCUGCGUUUUUUGGAGUCUGUGCCAUCCAAAUUGUUUGAUCCAGUGAAUCUGCAAGGAAAGGUCUCUGAGGCCCCCGUCUGCUGACUGCAUGAGAAACCCUAAAGGAAAUGCCAGUCGUGAUGGCCGGGGACCUGGAGGAAACAGCAUCAUCCUCGGAGGAUGAGGAGGCGGUCAGCCAAGACUCCUGCAUCUCGCUCACCCUGUGCCAUGAAGCCAUCACCAGACUCCAACACAAAGCCCUCUUCCAACCCUAGGCCAGUCACAGUGUGUCCACAUCACUCAAAACUCCACACAGAUCAUAUUCCCUUGAAACAAUGGAACAAGUGUUGCUACAAACUGUCAAGCUGUUCCCACCUGUGCAACUGGUCAGAGCGGACCACAGAAAGGGAACAGCCUGGGCUGCAGUCUCAGACACCCCUUCCCUCUCUCACCCCAGCUCAGGCCUCGCUGGUUUCUCCUUCCCAGAGACUGGAGCCCCUCCUUCUUGUGGAGCUAGGCUCAGAGACAGACUGAGCUCUUUCGCAGUUUACAGCACAGCAGUGGGGAGCCAAUGCUGAUGCUGGGGACUUCAAAACAGGAGACAGGUGCCAGGCCCUCCAAUUCUGGAGAAAACUGCUGGACACUGAAGACACUGGGGCAAAAUUCAAACCUCAGAAUCCUGCCCCCUUUUUUUAAAAAAAAAAUAAUAAAUGUUUUAUCCCCGUGAAGACUCAACACUGGCUGUGACAGGCGUGGAGGGGGAGCAGAGUUCACAUCUCCCUUCUACCACUCAGCAGCCGUAGGACCCCGGAGAAGGCUGCUGCAUUCGUCUAGGUCUCAGUCUCUUCAUCUGGAACAAUGGGGACAGUUCCACCUGCCUCACAGAGCUGAAGAAUUAAACCAUGGAUGAAAAAGUGCCUUGCACAUGGUAAGUGUUCAAUAGACAUUAGCUUCCAUCCCUUCAAUUUUCCCAUAGCAAUUAGGCAAAGCAGAUACUAAAAACCUUGUGGAGAACUGAAAAGAAAUCCUCUAUACUCUGCUCUGUUUUUUGCAGGUUUUUUUCUGGUUUUGUUUGUUUGUUUGUUUUCAAUCUGAAUCUUGGUGCCUGGUACAAUUUAAAAACCCAGGUACAGGAACUCUGCCAAGGCAAGGACGAUCUUUGCAGCCCUCACAUAGCAUCUGGCCAAAGGCAAGCGCCAGAUCCUCUACCCACCUGACUGCCAAGGACAGCUAUGGAGCAGGCUGUUGAAACCUCAUUAGCCCCGAACCAGACGGAAGCGAUGCGGGAGGGCAUGCCCAGGAUGAAGACCUGGGCCACAGAGCAGAUGGCCUGGCCCAGCACGGUGACUGGGAAGAGAUGGGGCUUCAGGCUGCCCAACUUCACCCAGGCCCCCAGGCAGCUCCUGAGGACUUGUGUGUAUCUCUGUAUUCAGUGGAGCAUUUAGAGAGAGAAGCUACACAGCGCAUGCUCUCAACACCUGUCGGGAGAAUUGAGUUGAAUUACACAUUGCCAUGAAAUUUCAGAAAACUGAGACAAAGAGGAGAUCCAACAUGUUUUCAAAGAUAUAAACUGGUUGCAUAAAAUAUUUUCUAAAAAACACACUCCCCAGAGUUAUCAUCAAACGUGGAAACUGGAAGUCAGUGGAAAAUGCUUUCUGAAGGAAAACCAUUUCCUGCCUAGAAUUCUAUACCCAAACUACCAAAGAAAAAAGCAUGAGAAGAGAAUCAAAUAUUUUCACACAUGACAUGCAAAGUUUAAAAAAAAGGUACUGCCUUAGCCUCUCUUCCAGAAAGCUGCUAAAGGAUGUACUCCACCAAAACAAGGGAGGAAACGAGAGGCAGGUGAUGAGAAUCAUCAAGAUCAUGGGAAGGAAGAUCCCAGGAGGACAGCCAUGGGCUGGGCAUAGAAAGCAGUCUGUUCAGAUUAAAGCUGCUCAAAAGACUCCAGGGAAGAUGUGAUCAAGAAGAUGACGCUGAUAGAAUUGUGUUUGAAAGUAUGGUGAGGGGGUCUACAUAAUUGGGGGAGAAUUAGGGGUUGGACCAGUGAUAAGUACCACGAAGUAUAACUAAAUAAAUGGGGGUGGGGGGACAUGAUUACCAGCUCCUGUGGAAUGUAAAAGGCAUGAAGGAGAGGGGAAAAAUCAUGGUGACCUCAAGUGACUCAGUUGUGAGUAGCAUGAACCCAGUCAUAAUAAUGUGAACGCUGAAAGUUGAUAUAACCAAAUAUGAUAGAAGCAUUUCGGGAGGAUGGGGGAGUGGGAAGUGGGCACAUGUGUGUGGUGGAGAUGAGGGUGGGGUUAACAGAGCUAAAUCUUUGUCUGCCACAUUGGAAAGUCAGGAGCUGAUUCCUGACAGGGACAAAAUCAGGAAGGUUCCAUAUAUCCAUCUUGUGUAGAGCUAUGGAGGUAAAUACCAAGAGAAUCAUCUAAUAAGAACUGAAAGCAAUUGCCUCAAGGGAGUGGGAACGAGGAAAGAAACUGACAUUUUGAUACAUGUCUCCUUGAUUCUUUAAACUAUGUAUAACCUUGGUUAUCAAAAAAACUUCAAAAAUUUAAAAAUAGAAACAAAAGGAAUGGAAGUGGACUUGCGUCACCGAGGCCCACAGGUGACGCCUAGGGGUGUGGUCAGUUCCGUCAUGGAGUUCAUGAUGUUGGUGCUACAAAUGGGCACCCAAGUCUCCAGCGCUGGGACCUCAGGGAUGCUGUGUCCUCCAAAGCUGUGCCAGGGUGUCGCCUCGGGGAACCGGGUGUGUGGUCAGAGGCCCUUUUACCCACAUCCUGGUCUUGCUUGUCCUUCUCUGACCUUCUUUCUGCUUCUAGUGACUUUCUCUCGUGGAGAUUAUGUGGAGGUCUUAUCCCUUCUACUGAGGCGUCACCUCUGAGCCAUCAUCCAAAGACCACAGCAAGGUCUCCUCUUCUGGAAUCCUCUCUGUCAGGGAAUGGCACUGCCAGCUCCGGGUCAGCCAAACCCAAACGCCAAGAACUCCCCAGAACCUCCCUUCCCUCCUUCUCAGUGUCCCCUGGGCGUUGAUCUCCUCACCAUCUUCCCUCCUCUCCUUUUCCUUCGACAUCACCUUGUGCAGACUCUCGUGGCAUCUCCCCUUGGUCCUGUGACCCCCUCCUCCUUGUUCUUCCUCCUCCAGUUCACGACCACACCACUUUCCAGGGCUUCCCAAUUCCCUUCAGGCCUCUGCCCUGCCUCCACUCCUCCAGUGGCCGCCCCUAGCUUGCAGAAGUUCACACUCCUCAGAGGAGCACACAAGGCCUUUGUGAUGUCUCUCUGGCCACCUCUCCCACCACUGCCCACUCCCACCUUCACGCCAGGCAGCUGGAACCACCUGCAGCUCCCCACAAGCUUUGUGAAUACAUCAUGCCCUGCACUUGUCAUCCUUCACAAUGCGGGACAAGCAUCACCUCCUCCAGGAAGCUUUCCCAGAUGCCCUAAGUGUGAUUCAGAGGCUUCAUUCACACCUUGCCCGUACCCCUUCACAGUGGCUCCUGGCACACUACAUCAUGAGUGUUUCUUAACCUCUUCAAGUCAUCCACUUACCGUGAGUUCCUCCAGCCUGUGGACAGUGUCCUACUCACAUUCAAAGCCCAGCCUCUGGCUCGACAUGUGGCCCACAGAAGGGACACGAAGGCAUGGUUGCCCUGAGCUCUGGGAUGCAACUCCAGGAUGAGUCCCACCUCCAGAAGGCCUCAACCUGAGGGAAAACACUUGCAGCUUGUUCUGAAUGCUGCUGUCUCCUUCGUUUCUUAGGUUUGCCUUGUUCUUUUCUGAGGUGCCUCCCCCAUGGGUUUGGAGCCCAGGGCCACAUCUCCCGGAGCCCACAGGGCAGGACGGUGGGGAGGGCAUUCCUGUGCUGAGCGGGAUUCUGGAUGCCUUCCCCUCUGGGGUCCCCUCAGUUGAGAGGGUCUCGGGGUCUGUCCUGGAAGGGACUGUGGUCAGGCUGUGCCGAGGCCUUGGGGAGAAGGAGCCUCGCUCUCCUUAGAAGGGAGCACAGGAGGAGAGCCCCCGCCUGGACAUGGAGACGUGGGCUCUGUCCCGGACGCAGUGCUGGAAAUCGCUGUCUCAGUUCCCUGGAAACACACGGCUGUAUCCAGAGAGGCCUCGGACGGCAUUCGUUCUUCUCUAAAGAAAAGACCCACGUCCACGGGUCCACGUCCUCAGCUCUCUGCACUUGGGUGUGUUCAUGGGUGUCCACUAUGUUAUUCUUCAUACCUUUUUAUGUAUUUUAAAUGAUUCUUAAUAAGUAGAAUACAAAGAAAGAUGCUGCAUAAACAUGAGGAAGACCUAACUAAAAAACAUGUGUCAAAGAGGAAGGAGCUAUUAAAACGGCUUAUUUUUGCAUAAUCUAUAGAAAGCCCGAGGUGUGAGGCUUUCUUUGCAUAGCGAAACAGAGGACCUGUGGUGGCGGGAGGUUUGCUGAUUGCCAGGGCAACAGUUAAAGCACAUGGGUGACAAAGCAGAGAAGCGCUGACGAGCAGGGUUAUGUGAUGUUGGAGCCAGAGUGUGAGAGAAAGGACACGCAGAAUCCUGUGGUCCAGCCGCUCGGUUUACGAAGGAUGACACCCGGGCCCAUGGAGCUGUCUUUACCAUGACGCAUUUAUUCACCAAGGCAGCCCCUGCAGGCCAAGCACUGUGCUGGGUGUCGGGGAAACAAACACAACAAAGGCAGUGGUCCUAGCCCUCCCGGAGUCCACACUCUGCGGCUGAGAGAGACACAUGAGCAAAUUGUUGUAGCAUAGCACCAUAAAUGCGUGGUAGAGGUCCACUCUGCUUCAUGGACUGACAAAGCAGGGAGCCCAAGAGGGCCUCUCAGACAUGUUUGAACGGGGUCUGGAGGAGGAGGUGAGACUCAGCCAGGCCCUGUGGCCGGUGCUGGGGUUUCAGUGUUGAGGGAAACAGACGUGGUCCCUCCCUGCCCUCAUGGAGCUUGCAGUCUAGUUGGGAGGACAACUGUCAAUCAAACGCUCCCACAGGGGUAAGUUAAACUGUGAUAAGGGCCGUGAGGGUUAUUUGUAAGAAUUUGUAAAGAAGGACAGAUGAGCUAGAUCCUAAGAAAGAGUGGGAACUAACUGGAUGAAAGAGAGGGGAAGGGCAUCCAGGCAGAGAGAACAGUUGGUGCAAAGUCCCUGAACCAGGAGGGAGCACGGCCCUUCCAGGAGUUGAACCAAGUCAUUGUGGCUGGAGCAGAGUGCAGAGGAGUACAAGGCAAGAGAGAGAGGCAGCUGCUGCAUGGUGCAGGCAUACUGAAGGGUUUUGUACUUUAUCCUAAGAGUGAAGGGGAGCCACUGAGACGUUUUAAGCAGGUGAGGGCAUAGUCACAUUUGUCACCUGGACAGGAUACUCUGGCUGCUUCGUGGAGAACUCAGUUGGCAUCGGGUGAGCAUGGGACACCCAGGGGAGAAUGGAGUUUUACAGCUGAAUUCGGGCAGUGCAGAAGGGUGGGGAUGGGUGGGCAGGGGAGCGGUGGGGGUGUACUGGAUGGGAUGGAGGACUAGGAGGGACGGAGGGAGGAGUCAGCAUGGUGACAGCUUCAACCUGUGAAUAGUGCAGAGAGAGAAGCAAAGUUCUGAAGGAAAAGCGCACUCUUGCCUCUGGUUCCUCUCUCUUCCUUUACUUGCCCUCCACCCCUUCCUACAGCUGCCUCAGGCAUGGCGAGGUCAAGAGGCCAGAGAAGCUGCUUUCAAUUCAGAGUAUGAAUUCCCACGAAAGUCCAGUGAUUGAAUUUUACGGAAACUACCCAGUCCCGAAUUUCUGCUCUCCUCUUUCCCUUUUGCCAUCACACACCCUCCAGGUGCAGGGCAGGACACUGGCUCAGGUCUCUCUAAUUCUGUGAAUAAAUAGAAUAAUUAGAAAGAAACAAACAAGUGCCAAAUGAAACCCGAGUCUUCAUGGAUUCCCUUCAAGCCUUCCCAAGUCCACAGUGGUGUGAAACCCCCGCGCUGCGUGCCAUCAGCUGCCCUGAGCCCUGAGUCGUCCAGGGAGCACUGCCUGGUGUCUCAGCUGGGCAAAGCAAGGGUGCUGGCUGGAUGCAGUGCUCUCAAUAGUCAUUUCUCUUCACUGUUGCUUUGAUUCCAAGUGACACAUAUGCAACCCGAACCAGCUUAAGCCAAAGAGAACGUGUUUCGAGAACACUGGGGCUGCUCACAGACGUCAGGGAGGUGGGGACCAGUCCAGUGGCAGAAAGGGCUCUGAGAGUGUGGCUGCAGCCUCGGGAACUGCCAGAACCAGGGACUAGAACCCCUCAGGACUUUUCCCUUCUCUGGUUGUCCUUGUGUCUCAGUCUUUUGGGGCUGCUAUAACAAAAACCCCUUAUAAACGACAGAAAUUUACUGCUCACAGUUCUAGCGGCUGGGAGGCUGACUACCCAGAUUCUGGCAGAUUCUGUGUCUGGUGAGUCCCCUUCCUGGUUCAUAGACGGCGUCUUCUCCCUGAGUCCUCCUGUGGUGGAAGGGGCCAGCGAGCUCUCUGAAGUCUCCUUUAUAAGGGCACUGAUCCCAUUCAUGAGGGCUCCGCCCUCAGGACCCCAUCACCUCCCAAAGGCCCACCUCCCAACAUUAGUAUCUCCAGGUUAGAUUUUAACAUAGAAUUUUGGGGGACACAAACUGUCCAUCGCACCCUGCGUGUCCACUUUGUUUUUCUCUCUUUCUCAAGACUAAUUUUCUCCACACUGGAGUUUUACUUCUUCACAGCUUCAGCUGCCUGAGAGAGGCUGCCUGAUUUUCUGUCCUAAAUACAAACUCCCAGAUGCCCAUUCCUGGACCCACUGACUGUGACCAUGGGGGCAAGGGUGCAGCUGCCAUAUGGAGGUGGAGGAGGCUCAGUCCCCAGGAAGACAGGGGCAAUUAACCAGGUAGAUAAGAUCGACCAGUGCCUUCCACGACCAUUAGUUCAUAGGAAUUGAGAAUCACAUACCUUUAGGAAUUAGGUACGAUUCAGCGCUCUCACUGCCACUGCCUGGGUUCUUUUCCCUGUCAGGGAGCCACAGCAAUCAUCUGUUGUCAUACCAUGGCGGCUGUGUUGCUGUGAUGUGAAAACUAUGCCACCAGUAUUUCAAAUACCAGCAGGGUUCCCCACGGUGGACAGCUUUCAGCAGAGCUUCCGGACUAACACAUAGUAGGAGGAAGGACCUGGCCGCCCACUUAUGAAAAAGCUAGCCAUGGAAACCUUGUGAAUAGGAGCGGCACACUGUCUGAUAGAGCGUCAGAGAUUCCAAGAACCAGGUCUAAAAGGAGAAUGUGGCUUCUGCCUUCCACGUUUCAGGCGACCCUGGGAUUGGGAGAAGACCCAGAAAGAGCAGGGAGGCACAGGAAGCGGGACUCCCCUCUGCUUCUCUGCCCAGCUGUUCUGUCCUGUUCCAGCUGAGACUGAAGUCCGUCGGCAGCCACAUGUUUCAGAUUGAGCUAACUCCUCGCUGCCCUUAAAGGUCAGGAGAGCCACCGUGCUGACACAGGCCUUUCUCCCCCUGGCAGUCUGCCCCACGGCGACUCUUGAGUCAUCACAUCUGGAUGACUAGGCUGAUAAAAACGAGGUUUCGUGGGAAUGUUGAAAACACUCUUGGAUAUCUGAGCUAAGGAAAGAAUGCAGUUUUAAAACCACAAAGUUGGAGAAGAAAUUUUAAUCCAUUGAUGUGUUGGAUGAGAAAGAAGAGGCCUUCCUACAGCGAGGGAUGUCAAGGAAUGUGGUGAACAGAAGCCCCAGAAGCUGGAAGGCAGGAGAGGAAUGAGACUAUAUACACGUGUCACACAGUGAGUCCUCGAUGAACGGUGGCUGCCAAGUGGAAUCUCCCUGGGCCUCUAAUUCCUCAUCUGUGAACUGGGGACAAUGGCUGCUCUCUGGCAAGGCUGCUGUGAAGAUGCACCGAGACUGUGUAUGGAGCAAGCACAGGACCUGGCUCAUGACUGUAGGCUCCCUGGGCGCAGGGCCUGGGUUUGUUUUAUUCCCCAGUGACGACUCAGCGCCUUGUGAAGAGCCCGGUACACCCAUGGCAAGCACUCAGGAAACAUUUGUGGAGUGAAUAAAUGAAAGAAGUACCGCAGAUUUCUUUAACUUCUCUGAGCCUCGACUUCCUCAUCCAUCAAAUGGGCAUAUAAAUCCUUACCUGAGCAGGCUGUUGUGAAAACCAAGGGCCCACAGCAGAUGCUCCAAACAUUCUCCGACAGGGCACACCAGGAGGCCCCCUGCACAGGCCUCGCACCCCAUUCCCUAGGCAGACACCACAAGAGGCAGCUGGGUUCCCAUUGGAGGAAGCACAGAAUCUGCUACGGAGCCCCUGGGGUUACUGACUUUCGUCAGGCAGUGCCCAUCACAUCUGUGACACUGGCCUGUGUCACCAGUGGAAUGAAUCCAGUUUAUAGCCUGCGGCCAGCCCAGCUCCUGUCCCACUUCUCUUCCCUCAUUCAACUCACUCCAGCCAUGGUGGCUUCCUUGCUGUCGCUCAAUUAUGCCAAACACUCUCCUGCCUCAGGGCCUUUGCAUAAGAAACAAAGGGGGGGGGGGGCAGAAGAAUGGAAGCCAAGUGGAUCUAAAGCAGGAGCACGAAGGGUCCCUGGAGGGGUUAGACGGGGCACACGGAGGGCAGAGCAAUGGCAAAGUGCUUUGAUGUACGAUAAAUGUAUGUGGAGGAUAUUUUGACCUAUGGGAUCAACCAGCCCAGUGUGGUCAUGUAAUUCCUCCUAAAACAUGUGCUUCCUGGUUAUUAGUCUAUAAUUAUUUAAACAGCCUUUUCCUUAUCCCCUGUUAUCUAGAAGCUUUGCUCAUUGGGAGACAACCAAUAGUCAUACUUCUAGAUCCAAAAUGAGGUUUCAAAUAGACCUCAAGUGAGAUUUCUGAAGAACUUCUAGCUCAGGGAAAGGAAAGAAUGUUGAUAUGAUUUGGGGGGUGUUCACAUGUUCAAAGUGUGGAUGGGUGAUGGGCACCCCAUUCAAGCCUUGGGGGUGAAAAUGACAAAAUAGGGGCCAGCCCGGUGGCACAGUGGUUAAGUUUGCAUGCUCCACUUUGGCAGCCUGGGGUCUGCAGGUUCAGAUCCCAGGCAUGGACCCAGCACCGCUCAUCAAGCCAUGCUGUGGUGGCAUCCCACAUAAAAUAGAGGAAGAUUGGCACAGAUGUUAGCUCAGCGACAAUGUUCCUCACACAUACACACAAAAAACCCAGUAACAUAGAAAAGCAUCUGAAUGAUUUCUCUUGGACUCUGUCUAAAAACUUAUAACCGGGUUCUGGCCCCGUGGCCGAGUGGUUAAGUUCGUGCGCUCCACGGCAGGCGGCCCAGUGUUUCGUUGGUUCAAAUCCUGGGCGUGGACAUGGCA